rnacentral:rRNA from 1 species
GCAAGUCGAACGGAGUAGCAAUACUUAGUGGCAGACGGGUGAGUAACAUGUGGGUAUCUUCCCUUUGGUGAGGAAUAACACGAGGAAACUUGUGCUAAUACCUCAUAAGUCUUCACGGAGAAAGCUUUAUGCGCCAAUGGAUGAGCCCGCACUUGAUUAGUUUGUUGGUGGGGUAAUGGCCUACCAAGACUGUGAUCAAUAGCUGAUCUGAGAGGAUGAUCAGCCACAUUGGGACUGAGACACGGCCCAAACUCCUACGGGAGGCAGCAGUAGGGAAUAUUGCACAAUGGAGGAAACUCUGAUGCAGCGAUGCCGCGUGAGUGAAGAAGGCCCUUGGGUUGUAAAGCUCUUUCGUCGGGGAAGAAAAUGACUGUACCCGAAUAAGAAGGUCCGGCUAACUUCGUGCCAGCAGCCGCGGUAAUACGAAGGGACCUAGCGUAGUUCGGAAUUACUGGGCUUAAAGAGUUCGUAGGUAGUUAAAAAAGUUGGUGGUGAAAUCCCAGAGCUUAACUCUGGAACUGCCAUCAAAACUUUUUAGCUAGAGUAUGAUAGAGGAAAGCAGAAUUUCUAGUGUAGAGGUGAAAUUCGUAGAUAUUAGAAAGAAUACCAAUUGCGAAGGCAGCUUUCUGGAUCAUUACUGACACUGAGGAACGAAAGCAUGGGUAGCGAAGAGGAUUAGAUACCCUCGUAGUCCAUGCCGUAAACGAUGUGUGUUAGACGUUGGAAAUUUAUUUUCAGUGUCGCAGCAAAAGCAGUAAACACACCGCCUGGGGAGUACGACCGCAAGGUUAAAACUCAAAUGAAUUGACGGGGACCCGCACAAGUAGUGGAGCAUGUGGUUUAAUUCGAAGAUACGCGCAGAACCUCACCAACACUUGACAUGUUCGUCGCAACUUU